UACGUAGGGUGCAAGCGUUGUCCGGAAUUAUUGGGCGUAAAGAGCUCGUAGGCGGUUUGUCGCGUCUGCUGUGAAAACUCGGGGCUUAACUCCGGCCUGCAGUGGGUACGGGCAGACUAGAGUGCGGUAGGGGAGACUGGAAUUCCUGGUGUAGCGGUGAAAUGCGCAGAUAUCAGGAGGAACACCGGCGGCGAAGGCGGGUCUCUGGGCCGUAACUGACGCUGAGGAGCGAAAGCGUGGGGAGCGAACAGG
rnacentral:rRNA from 1 species